rnacentral:snRNA from 1 species
AGAGGAUCUGGCUGCAAUUAUCUGUCAUCCCAUUAAUCACCAUGCUUAAUUCAACUGCUUUAGAUGACCGGGUGAGUGUGCCCUUCCUCUGCCACUCCUUGUGCAUCUUCUUCCUGAAACAGAUGGCUCAGUUGAUGGACAACCUUUGCUGGUAGGGGAAGGCCACUCUGUCAUCAGUAAAGAGCAGCAGUGUCCUCGUGCUAGAAUCUCCAAAGAAACCCUCAAGAAAUGCACUGAGCCUGCUUUCAUAAGUGAUGGGCAGCUGUGGCAUGUUGAUACUAUGAUACUAAGUAAUACUGUAGCUCAUU